AAAUGACCUGGCUCACCUGCCAGUAUGGGCAAUCUGUUAAAGCAAACAAAUACAGAAUCCUGAUUAUUUCACUAACUAUGAAGAUUUGCAUCACGUUCUUCAGUAAUUGUUCUCAAUUUUGCUUUUCAGGGCUGAUGGCCCCACGAAACAGAAUUGUUCCAGGGACGAAGCCUUUGAUGGAUUGGCUGCUCUGCUGGCUGCUUUGGUGCUGGAAAGAUAGAUGUCACCAAGUCCUCCGGCACCCUUCAUCCUCUGAUGAGGAAAUCAGGUGAAGACACCAGAAUAUCUAUCGGUGAUGGAACCUAUAAGGGGUGGAUGAAGGACAGCUAGCAAGAGAGGGAUUAGGAAAGGACUCCUAGAAUUCUGAAUGAAGAGGAGCCAGCAGCAUUUGUAAAGCAAAGGAAGAGUGUUUCCAGCCACAGGAAGAGGCAAGACAGAGACUCAGAGAUGCAGAGGUUAUUAUUAAAAAAUAAUAAUAAAUUAAAAAAAAAAGCUGCA
rnacentral:lncRNA from 1 species